UACGUAGGGUGCAAGCGUUAAUCGGAAUUACUGGGCGUAAAGCGUGCGCAGGCGGCUUUGCAAGACAGAUGUGAAAUCCCCGGGCUCAACCUGGGAACUGCAUUUGUGACUGCAUGGCUGGAGUGCGGCAGAGGGGGAUGGAACUCCGCGUGUAGCGGUGAAAUGCGUAGAUAUCUGGAGGAACACCGGUGGCGAAGGCGGCAUCCUGGACCGGUAUUGACGCUGAGGCGCGAAAGCCAGGGGAGCAAACGGG
rnacentral:rRNA from 1 species